ACAAUGAGCGUUAAUACUAGUCCAAUGGAGUUCCCCAUCUCCUUAAAAGUGGGACAGAAACAUACUCUGCUCUAACUCUGGGCAGAGAUGAGCAGCAAGUUGAAUUCAGUGAGAUGGAGUUCUAAAUUGAUAGUGCAGUUUGUUUAGCCGAUUUUACUGCGACAGUAGCUAGCUACUUCACAUGCUGACAUAGAGUAAGAUGGUGCGGACAGACAUGGCAGCUCUGCUUCUAGCUCCUAAGCAACUUUUCAGUGUGUUAUUUCUUUCAUUAUUAGCCCAGAACAUUUUUUGUGUUAUUACGUACAGCCGGAAAUAACUUUUGGAUAUGAGAGCGGCGGUAACUCAGCAGCGUUACGACCAGGAAUACGACUUGUUUGUUCCCCCCAGGGCAAUUGAACUUAUCCCAGAGGCUGGUCCAAGAUGCCGCCGGCGGAGAAGAGGACCAGGUCUACCCAUUGCGCUCAUCUUGGGGUCAGGUUCAGCUGUUGGUCUCCUCCUAGCAGUGAUGCUGGUAGCCUGCUGUAUUCAGAGGAGAAGGAGAAGUCCAGCACCACAGAUGCAGAACUCAAAGGAUCUCAGUCUUCAGAAUGAGGAAAGAGGCGACAAAACCUGUGAUACUUGCUAACAGAGGGGAGACAGAGGUUUAGGACUCAUUAGUAGGCUUCCAGAGAGUAGUCAUUGAUAAGUAACUAAAAUGGAGACAAACAACUCAUUCCUUUUUCAAAACAGCCCAAACAAUUUCCUUAGUUUUUUCUGUGUGCAUUAGUUAACUUCUAAUAAAUAUUUUUAUGGUAGUAGCUUAUUUUUUAUUCAGCGUUUUUCUGUUCUUUUGGCAGCUGUGAAUCAGCACUGGUAUUAAAUUACAUUAAUACUUUUUUUGAGGAUAAUGAAACAAAUUGCAUUUGAAGACUUUUUCUCAUGACAGUUAUUAUAGCCUAAAAAUCACUCUUGUUUUGCAGCUUUCUCUUUUCAGAGAAGCUAAAUAAUGUUAAAUGUUAAUUUUACUCAAAUAGAACAACCUGUACUGGCACAUGUGGGCAGUCCUGAUACAACAUUUUUAACAGAAAUUAAAUGGUUCGUUGGAUCAGUCUAACAUCUGCACAUACACUGCUGCCAUCUAGUGGCCAAAACCCAAUUUGCGCCUGGGCUGGAAUAAUACAUGAUGGCCUUUCUCUUGAUGGUACAAAAAAUUUAUAUUUUAUGAGAUCUUUCACCAGAUCUAAUGUGUUAUAUUCUCCUACAUUAAUUUAACAUUUCCAAAAACUUAAAAUGUUUCCUUUCAAAUGGUAUCAAUAAUAUGCAUGUCCUUGCUCCAGGUCCUGAGCCACAGGCAGUUAGAUUGGGUAUUACAUUUUAGGUGAAAAUUGAAAAAAAGGGGCGGAUCCUUAAGAAUUCAAUGUCCAUUUCUCGUUUUUGCUUUAUUUCUCUCUUCAUACAUUUAUAGGAUUGUAAUAGUUAUAAAUGUAUGUUAUUGUCAUGUUCAAGCCUCAAAAUUAGAUAAUUAGAUUAUAAACAAUUGUACCAUUGCAUUGUUUAAUACUCAUUUUUGAUUUGCUUGAAUUGCAUUCUAGAGCCUGCAUUCUAGAGCCUGCAUUAUUUCCCUAUAACACACGUUAAUAUUGCUUGGUCUAAUUCAAUGUCUAUGUAGAUAUGUCUAUGAAGCUCAUUCUUACAUGUUUUAUUUUUUAGCUGCUUUUGAAAGCAAACGUCAAAUUGAAAACAUUAAUGCCAUUGUUGAAUUCGAUUUUCAUAAUAGUAAGCAAGAAUGAUGGUUUGGUUAGCUGAGCUAGGGAUUAUUUUACAUUUUUUAUUACCAAGACAACUACUGUACUGUAGCUAUUUAGCUAGCUAGACUUGCUAGCUACUUCAGUGGAUGUUGGCACAUUUCUAUUGGCAAAGGAAUACAUUUUAGAGGCAAAUAUGUUAAUUUAUAGCCAUGGUAUGAUAGGAAUAAUCAAUUUAGGGCUCUGUGCGUUCUCUGGAAAAUAAUGCAACUCCACGAUGUGUUAGCACACCUUCCACAUCGUGCACUAUAUUCCAAAGAACGCAAUUCAGGCAUUCAUCUCCUCCGGUGAUGCUAGAGAGAAUGGAUGUCAGUGUUAUGGAGCUCUGGGAGGGUCUGUCUUUCUCCAGCUGACUGAUACCAGAGGAUAUACAUUCUUAUUAUAAAAAGACCCCAAUGAUAAAGCUACAGACAUAGUCAACAUUUUAAAUGAUUUAGUGAGAAUGCAUGACUCCAUUAAAGCUAUAUCAGAGUUCUUCAUGAACAACAGGACAUUUAGGAUGGAUAACACAGAAAGGACGGAGUCUGAUGAAUACCUCUUAGAACAUUUCAUUCUAAUGGAAGUUCAUUAGCCAACAGAAGACUAGACCUGUUCAUUGAAGGUAAAGGGCUAUCUCAACAACAAAAAGACAUAUGACUAUUAGCUUCCAAAGAAAUAUACAAUAAUUUGACACAAUGUAGAUAUGUUUUUGUCUGUUUGCUGAAGUUGACUUAAUCCCCACAGCUCCAGUGUCCGUCUCAUGGAUAGAUGAGGGUGUCCUGCUCCUCUGAGGGGGACGGUAGUACAGCUGAACUCUGGAUGGACAGACACUGAGAGACACUGAGACCUCUCCUGGUGAUGAGACAAACACCAUCACUCUGAAGAAAGGCCUGUCAGGAGAUCUCACCUGUACCGUCCAGAAACCACAUCAGCAGGUGUCCAGGAACAGGGUUCAAUGUGUUUGUUUAUUUCCAACCUGCUGAAGUCUUCAUUCUGCUGACAGUCUGUCUGGGAUCAUACUGUUUCUACAGAAGAAAACCUGUCCUCAAGAACAUUGUCAGUAACCAUGCAAUGGAUAUUUAACUAAGAGAAAGAGUCCUCUGGAACAGGAUAAUAGUCAGUAAGCAGAGUGUAUGGAUUCUUUCAGGUGGAUCAGGGUAGAUCUCAGAAGAGCGUGUUGAUGCCCUGAGAGUUGCUAUGGGGACAAACCAGGCUGUGAGAUUACCUUAUGAAAUAACUGCUAAUGAUUAUAUAAUAUUGCUUACAGUUGAAAAUGUUUGUAGCUCUUUUAACCUUUAUUAAUUAAGCUGUAAUUAUCAUUUUGUGUAAGUACUUAUGUCACGUUCGUUCUCCUCCUCGUCUGAGGAGGUGCAUGGAUUGGACCAAUACGCAGAGUGAUAUGAGUACAUCUUCUUUUAUUAGAGAUGAAGACGAAACGAACCAUAUACAAACUAAUACACAAAACAAUAAACCACGAACGUGAAGCUACAAACGAAAGUGCACACACAGCUACUAACGUUAGACAUAGACAAUUACCCACAAACACCUAAAGCCUAUGGCUGCCUUAAAUAUGGCUCCCAAUCAGAGACAACAAUAAACAGCUGUCUCUGAUUGAGAACCAAACCAGGCAACCAUAGACUUUCCUAAACACCUACACUGAACACAACCCCAUACAUACUACAAAACCCCCUAAACAAUACACACACCCUAAACUAGACAAAACACACAAACAUCCCCCAUGUCACACCCUGACCUAACUAAACUAAUAAAGAAAAUCAAUAUAACAAAGGCCAGGGUGUGAUAACUUAUUAUUAAAUGUAUAGCACAAUGUAUUGCAUUGCAAUGUUUUGUUUUAUAUUGCUUGUGAUAUACAUUCUUACUGUGUUCAUAAUGUUAUGAUUUGAUGUAUUUGUGCGAUUUUGAAUGGAUAGAAGUAAAAGCAAGCUACCUAAUUUGUCAUUAACUACUACUUUUGAAACAUUUUGAAUCUCAUUUCUCAUGAUCUGCUACUGUUUAAACAUUUUAAACCUAAUUUCUCAUUAUCUACUACUUUUUAAACAUUUUAAACCUAAAUUCUCAUGAUCUACUACUGUUUGAAACAUUCUGGACCUAAUUUCUCUUUAUCUACUACUGCUUGUUUAAAGCACAACAAACUAAGUGACAAUGUGCAGGGUUUUCUGACUUUUCUAUCGGCCCACUGAAAUACAUUUUAUCACACAUACUGGCGCACUUCCCUUCAUGAAGAGCCAAUGCUGAUGUGUAGUCAGUCAAUAGUCACAACAUCACAGACCACAUCUCAACAUCCCAGACCACAUCUCAAGUCACCAGUUCUGACGUCUCCUACUUCCUAGAAUGAUGGGCUAAAGUGAUCUUGAGACGAGUAGACAAUCCAAGUUAAUAACCGGCCGCUUAUACCUUGUCACUGUUGUAUCUUUAGAAAUGUUCUAAAAUAAAACAUUACUGACACUAUGAAAUUACAGUAGUCUGUUUAAACACCUCCUUUCCUGUAGAAGAUACAGUGUAGCUAUCUACCAACAUAAUACAUAGCUAGUGUUCAAGCAGCGUUAGUGACCGUUAGUGACAGCAUUAGUGAGGUUGACUGUUCAAUUAUUUUUGAAAUACGAAGCGGGGACUCCCAUUGUGAGUCAAUGGUUGCAGGACAUACUAUGACAUAUCUAUAAACAUUUGUUGUAACAGACUAUCAACAUGCAUGCUGUGUAUGGACUAAUGAUGAUGUUAGUCGGACUGUCUUAUGGUAGGCAAAAUCACUUAUGCAGUAUCAUACAGAUAUAUUUGAAUUGUAUCUCCAUCUUAUGACUAAAAUCAAUGAUAAACAUUCAGUCUUGUCACAAAGUUCAUAAGUGAAAUGAUGAAAGAGAUUCCGUUAAAAAAGUUGUAAUUUUCUGCACAAUGCAGAAAAUUACAACUUUUCACUCCAUCCUCAGGCAUGGAUAAGUCCUGUGAUGCUAGAGAGGAUGAAUCUCAGUGUUAUGAAGUUCUGGGAGGGACUGGGCCAUCUCUGGCAGAUCACCAACACCAGGGGUCAUGACCUUGAAUUCAAGAAACUUGUAGGGACCAAAGUUUUCAAAAUUAGAAAACAACAAAGUCACAACCAACCCGCCUUUAAAACACAGAGCAGUGUUCUAUGUGGAGGAUGGGAUGUUGAUGCUCAGUAACACAGAGCAGUGUUCUAUGUGGAGGAUGGGAUGUUGAUGCUCAGUAACACAGAGCAGUGUUCUAUGUGGAGGAUGGGAUGUUGAUGCUCAGUAACACAGAGCAGUGUUCUAUGUGGAGGAUGGGAUGUUGAUGCUCAGUAACACAGAGCAGUGUUCUAUGUGGAGGAUGGGAUGUUGAUGCUCAGUAACACAGAGCAGUGUUCUAUGUGGAGGAUGGGAUGUUGAUGCUCAGUAACACAGAGCAGUGUUCUAUGUGGAGGAUGGGAUGUUGAUGCUCAGUAACACAGAGCAGUGUUCUAUGUGGAGGAUGGGAUGUUGAUGCUCAGUAACACAGAGCAGUGUUCUAUGUGGAGGAUGGGAUGUUGAUGCUCAGUAACACAGAGCAGUGUUCUAUGUGGAGGAUGGGAUGUUGAUGCUCAGUAACACAGAGCAGUGUUCUAUGUGGAGGAUGGGAUGUUGAUGCUCAGUAACACAGAGCAGUGUUCUAUGUGGAGGAUGGGAUGUUGAUGCUCAGUAACACAGAGCAGUGUUCUAUGUGGAGGAUGGGAUGUUGAUGCUCAGUAACACAGAGCAGUGUUCUAUGUGGAGGAUGGGAUGUUGAUGCUCAGUAACACAGAGAAAGCUGAUUAUGGAAACUAUCACUUGAACAUUUACAACUCAGAGGGGAUUCUUCUGAAGACAAGACAAUUAGACCUACUCCUGGUUACUAAAGGUAUAAACUUUGUAACACUUUAUUUUAAUUUUCGCCAAUUGAUCGUUUAUAGAUGAUCAACUAACUGUCAACAAACUGUUUAAUUAACUUUCCAUUAACUCUAACCCCAGGCCUAACUUUAACCGCGACCUAACCUUCAUGUCUGUUUUAGAGAGUUAAAUAACAGUUGUCUGUUCUCAUUCCUCCACGGUGCCAGUGUCCUGUCCUCUGAGUGUCUGUCCCAUGGAGAGAUGAGGGUCUCCUGCUCCUCUGUGGGGGACAUUCACCAGUACAUUUGGACUCUGGACAGACAGACACUGAAUGGAACUGUGGCUUUUCUCAUUGACUUAACAGACACCGUCAUACUGAAGAAGUGUGAGGACAGACGCUGGGAGACGAGAAGCAAGUACAGGUAGUGAAUAUUUAAAAACAAACAGACAUGAAGGAAAACACGGACAGCGCCUGGACAAGAGAAACGUCAUGAUGUCACGUUCUGACCACAGUUCUUUUGUAUUUUCUUUGUUUUAGUGUGGUCAGGGCGUGAGUUGGGUGGGUAAUCUAUGUUUUCUAUUUCUGUGUUGGUUUUCUGUGUUUGGCCUGAUAUGGUUCUCAAUCAGAGGCAGCUGUCAAUCGUUGUCCCUGAUUGGGAACCAUAUUUAGGUAGCCUGUUUUCUGUUGGGUUUUGUGGGUGGUUGUUUUCAGUCUUUGUGUGUCUGCACCAGAUAGAACUGUUUCGGUUUUCACUUUGUUGUUUUUGUAUUUUGAGUUGUUCACUUCAUUAAAUAAGAUGAACAAUUACCACGCUGCGCAUUGGUCCUCUGAUCCUUCAAACUUCUCCUCCUCAGACGAGGAGGAAGACGACAGCCGUUACAGAACCACCCAACCAAAAAAGGACCAAGCAGCGUGGUAACGGGCAGCAACAGGAGAACCAGCGAUAUCUGGAGAAAUGGACUUGGGAGGAGAUUCUGGACGGCAAGGGACCCUGGGUACAGGCUGCUCUAGUGUCCAGUCCUCAGCUGUCCUCUGAGUGUCUGUCUCAUGGAGAGAUGAGGGUGUCCUGCUCCUCUGAGGGGGAUGGUCCCCAGUACAGCUGGACUCUGGAUGGACAGACGCUGAGAGACACUAAGGCCUCUUCUGAUAACGAGACAAACACCAUCACUCUGAAGAAAGGCCUGUCAGGAAAUCUCACCUGUACCAUCAGAAACUACAUCAGCAGUGAUUCUAUCAGCAGGAGAAUCUCACACUGUACAGGGCUGAUAUAUGUUAACUGCACCUUAUCCAACGGGACAAAGCUAUCAGAGUGGGUGAAUGCCACUGGUAAUACCCUGUGUGUUGAGUCUACAACAGUGGUGACUGUGACUGAGGCUCCCGUCAGUAAAACCUCCACUGGUAAGGGCCAGGGGCAGGAUAUUUUCAUUGCUGUACUCUGUGUCAUUAUGUUUAGUUUAACAGACACAUCAUGCAAAAUAAAACAAUAAUAUAUUAAUGAUGAUGAUAAUUAUGAUGAUGAUGAUUGACGUCAUCGUCAUCAUCAUCAUAAUCAUGACCUCUAGGGUCGUUCCACAAAAUUAGUCCCUAUUUGAUAUUUUCUUCAAUAAUACCACAUGGAGAAUUCAAUUCAAUCUUCGAUUUUCUAUAUGAAAAAACAUUUGCUAUCCUGCCAAAAUGCAGCAUUUUGACACGUCCCUCUGUCACCCUCUGUGACUUCUAGGAAGAUUUUAACCCACUUAAUCCCAAAAUGUCUCCAAGUGUUCACCAUUAUUGUAAAGCCUUAUUUUGUCUCUUUGCCAAAGUCAUUUCUGAACAUUUGUUUAUUUUAUGUAAUUUUUUUAUUUAUUUUUUAUUUAACUUUUAAUUAAAUAGGCAAGUCAGUUAAGGACAAAUUCUUAUUUACAAUGCCAGCCUACCAAAAGGCAAAAGGCCUCCUGUGGGGAUGGGUGCCUGGGGUUAAAAUGAAAAAUAAAUACUAAAUAAACAAACACACAUCACAACAAGAGAGACAACACAACACUACAUGAAGAGAGACCUAAGACAACACUAUAGCAAGGCAGCAACAUAUGACAAUACAGCAUGGUAGCAACACAACACCCAAUUUCCACACUAUUCAUUACAAGAUUUAGUUGACGUUUAUGGUUUAGUGAAUGAUUUGUCCCAAAUACAAUGCUUUUAGUUUUUGAAAUAUUUAGGACAAACGUAUUCCUUGCCACCCAUUCUGAAACGAACUGCAGCUUUGUGUUAAGUGUUGCAGUCAUUUCAGUCGCUGUAGUAGCUGACAUGGAUAGUGUUGAGUCAUCCUUAUACAUAGACACAUUGAAUAUAUGAGCCAGUGAAGAGGGUUUUACUAUUCUUGGGUAGCGGAAUAACUUCUACUUCCCUCCAGGCCUGAGGGCACACACUUUCUAGUAGGCUUAGAUUGAUGAUAUGGCAAAUAGGAGUGGCAAUAUCGUCCGCUAUUAUCCUCAGUAAUUUUCCAUCCAAGUUGUCAGACCCCGGUGGCUUGUCAUUGUUGAUAGACAACAAUACAUUUUUUACCUUUUCCACACUCACUUUACGGAAUUCAAAAUUACAAUGCUUGUCUUUCACAAUUUGGUCAGUUAUGCUUGGAUGUGUAGUGUUGGCAUUUUUUUGCUGGCAUGUCAUGCAUAAGUUUGCUAUUCUUGCAAGUGAAGAAAUCAUUAAAGUAGUUGGCAAUAUCAGUAGAUUUUGUAAUGAAUGAGCCAUCUGAUUCAAUGACUGAUGGAGCUGAGUUCGCCUUUUUUGCCGAAAAUUUCAAUGAAGGUUAUUACUAUCAAUGUUUAUAUCAUAUAUCUUUGUUUCAUGGUAUAGAUUCUUCAUAUUUUUAUUCAGUUUAGUCACAUGAUUUCUCAAUUUGCAGUACGUUUGCCAAUCGGUUGUGCUGCCUGACUUAUUUGCCAUUCCUUUUGCCACAUGUAACGAUUUUCGUCGGGAGAAGGAGAAGAGGACCAAGGUGCAGCGUCAAAAUGAAACAUUUAUAUUAUCUGUAACAAUGGAUAGGACACUUGUCCUCCUCCAUGCGCCAGUGACCUCCAGGAAUGGUGGCCUUUCCGUUUCACCAAGUUAUGGCUCUGCGACCACUUCAAUACCCUCACUGGCAUCGUGAUUGACAGUCUCCUGACUCAAUCUCUCCUGAAUAAGGGUCACUGCAACUCGGGUUGAUAUCGAAGCGCGAAUUCCUUUGCCAGACACACACAGGCUGAUCAUGCUUGGAAAUACUCUAUUGGGUUCUUCAAAAUGAAUGGUGUCGAUCGAGGGGAGAGGUCUGUGUUUUUGACAGUGAGUCCAACUUUGCUGCUGCCCUCUCUGUGCUCUUCAGCACGUUCUAUGUUUUUAACAUAGAAUAUCAGGAGCCGGCCUCUGCAACCUUGGAGCUGAU